CCUACGGGAGGCAGCAGUGAGGAAUAUUGGUCAAUGGGCGAGAGCCUGAACCAGCCAAGUCGCGUGAAGGAUGACGGUCCUAUGGAUUGUAAACUUCUUUUAUCUGGGAAUAAAAUACUCCACGUGUGGCAUUCUGUGAGUACCCGAUGAAAAAGCAUCGGCUAACUCCGUGCCAGCAGCCGCGGUAAUACGGAGGAUUCGAGCGUUAUCCGGAUUUAUUGGGCUUAAAGGGAGCGUAGGUGGGGCGUUAAGUCCGCUGUGAAAGUCGGCGGCUCAACCGUGAACCCGCAGUUGAAACUGGAAGUCUUGAGUACACAACAGGUAGGCGGAAUUCGUGGUGUAGCGGUGAAAUGCAUAGAUAUCACGAGGAACUCCGAUUGCGAAGGCAGCCUGCUGGGGUGCAACUGACGCUGAGGCUCGAAGGUGUGGGUAUCAAACAGGAUUAGAUACCCCAGUAGUC
rnacentral:rRNA from 1 species